UACGGGGGGGGUAAGCGUUGUUCGGAAUUACUGGGCGUAAAGGGCUCGUAGGCGGCCGACUAAGUCAGACGUGAAAUCCCUCAGCUUAACUGGGGAACUGCGUCUGAUACUGGACGGCUUGGAUUCGGGAGAGGAAUGCGGAAUUCCAGGUGUAGCGGUGAAAUGCGUAGAUAUCUGGAGGAACACCGGUGGCGAAGGCGGCAUUCUGGACCGACAUUGACGCUGAGGAGCGAAAGCCAGGGGAGCAAACGGG
rnacentral:rRNA from 1 species